rnacentral:piRNA from 1 species
UACAAUGGCCUCUCAGCUUCUCUGGU